GUCAGGAUGGAAGAGCGGUCUAAGGCACCAGACUCAAGUUUCCAAAAAUUGCCCCUCUAAUGCGCUUCCAAAGAGCGUUCUGGUCCACUAAUGUGGGCGUGGGUUCGAAUCCCACUCUUGACA